rnacentral:tRNA from 4 species
GCGGGUGUGGUGGAAUUGGUAGACGCGCCGGACUCAAAAUCCGGUUCCGCAAGGAGUGUCGGUUCGAGCCCGACCACCCGCACCA